rnacentral:rRNA from 1 species
AUGAACGCUGGCGGCGUGCCUAAUACAUGCAAGUCGCGCGAACGGACGAGAAGCUUGCUUCUCUGAUGUUAGCGGCGGACGGGUGAGUAACACGUGGAUAACCUACCUAUAAGACUGGGAUAACUUCGGGAAACCGUAGCUAAUACCGGAUAAUAUUUUGAACCGCCUGGUUCAAAAGUGAAAGACGGUCUUGCUGUCACUUAUAGAUGGAUCCGCGCUGCAUUAGCUAGUUGGUAAGGUAACGGCUUACCAAGGCAACGAUGCAUAGCCGACCUGAGAGGGUGAUCGGCCACACUGGAACUGAGACACGGUCCAGACUCCUACGGGAGGCAGCAGUAGGGAAUCUUCCGCAAUGGGCGAAAGCCUGACGGAGCAACGCCGCGUGAGUGAUGAAGGUCUUCGGAUCGUAAAACUCUGUUAUUAGGGAAGAACAUAUGUGUAAGUAACUGUGCACAUCUUGACGGUACCUAAUCAGAAAGCCACGGCUAACUACGUG